rnacentral:rRNA from 1 species
AUGGAGGAGCUCGUCCUGAAGGAAGAUGAUCUCCAGGAUGUGGUGGUAGAAGACGAGGAAAUUCCAGCAGAGGCGACUCGAUGGAUGGAAAUAGCCAGAGUCCACACGGAGAAACCCUACAAUCUGUACUGGUUCUUCAAGAACAUGAGGUCAGCAUGGGACCUGGCAAAGGAAGUGAAGAUCAGGCCAUUAGAGGAUAACAUGUACACGCUGCAGUUUGGAUGCCUAGGCGACUGGGAACGGGUGAUGGAGGAAGGACCUUGGACGUUUAAAGGAAAAAUUGUGGUUUUGUCACAUUAUGAAGGACCUUGGACGUUUAAAGGAAAAGGACCUUGGACGUUAAGGGAAGAACACAAUGAUCACCAAAAACCUUGA